rnacentral:tRNA from 1 species
GCGGUGAUGACGGAACUGGUAGACGUAUUAGACUCAGAAUCUAAUGGGUAAAACCGUAUGGGUUCAAAUCCCAUUCGCCGCACCA